AAUCUCAUGGCAGGCAUGAGCGCAUGUGGUUGUAGUAUUCAGGUCAAGCUUUAUUAUUUGCACAUGAACGGGGUGUUUGCGCAUGGUUUUCAUAUCGCUGCCACACCGCCACGAAAUGUAUUUCUGGAUUCAUGCCUGAUGCGCACGGGGCGC